rnacentral:lncRNA from 1 species
AGAAACUCAUGCAAGAUCAUCAUCAUCUCCAAUAUUUCAUCUUCAUCUCCUCAAGGUGAAUUCCUAGUUAUAUUAGUCUUAGAUGGGAGAAAUUUAUGUGUGGGAAGUUAGAGUUGUGUGUUAUUGUUGUUGUUUGAUCAUGACAUGAUGAAAUUGUUGUUGUUCUCGUUUCUGUGUAAUAUUCCUUGACCUCUAUAUAUUGCUUGAUGUUGUUUUGGUGUGUCUGAGGUUGUGUUGAUGUUAUUAGAAUAUAUGGAGAAACUAUGUUAUUGUUGUGUCAUACCAUGGUAUUUGGUGUUGUUGUAUGCAAUAUGAUGAUGCAUGUUGG